rnacentral:rRNA from 1 species
UACGGGGGGGGCAAGCGUUGUUCGGAAUUACUGGGCGUAAAGGGUUCGUAGGUGGCUUGCUAAGUCAGACGUGAAAUCCCUCAGCUUAACUGGGGAACUGCGUCUGAGACUGGCAAGCUUGAGUGCAGGAGAGGAAUGCGGAAUUCCAGGUGUAGCGGUGAAAUGCGUAGAUAUCUGGAGGAACACCGGUGGCGAAGGCGGCAUCCUGGACCGACACUGACGCUGAGGCGCGAAAGCUAGGGUAGCAAACGGG